CUGGCCUCAGCUCCAAUGACUGCUCCCCCUGAGCAUGCUGUGAAUGUUCUUCCUGGCAAAUGAGAUAAAUUCCUCAUCAAUGGCUUGUCCCUUCAGUUUGAAGACUGAAGAAGAUGGUUACCAAGUAGAAGCUGGUAACUUUGCUUUCUCUUUGUCAUAUGUUAACUUUAAAUAAUCAAUUCAAGCAGUAUAGACUCACUGCUCAUUCUUUUUCUUCUUCCAAAUAAAGCAAAAAUAAUUCUUUUGUCAUUCAUUUAAUAUUUUACAAUCUUCUGUGCAUUUUUGGUUUUAAAUGUCCUGAUACUAUUGUUCAGAUUCAUUUCACUUCUUUAAUCAUUCUUGAUUACAUGUUUUUCUUUCCAUAAUUUGUAUGCAUUCUUUCAAAAUCUGAGAUCUGAGCAUCAAUCACACUAAUAUCUUAGAUACAUCUCCCUUUUCAUCCCUCUCAGGACCGUUUGUCAUUAUGGAACAUGCUGUUUGAAUCCUCCUUAUAGAAGACUUUCCUCACUAGUGAGCUUAACAAUUAUUUAGAAAUUUCUCAUAUUCUUCCCAGAAUCUUUCUGUCUGUUGGAGGGACUUGUCCCUGAAGAUAAUGUGGAAGUGGGAAGACCAAGACCUAUCUUCUUUCAGAUUCUCAUCAACACAAGAAGGAACAUCCAGUACUCAAUUCACCAGCGAGAAAAGUAACACAAAGGGUUUUUGCGUCACAGAUUACAAUUAUAUUAUCAAAUUUUCAUUUUCUAGAAUCUCUUCAUCCUUUUUAACUGCCUUUCUUUUCAGAGACUCUGGUUAGGGAACCAUUUCUAUAGUUUCUCUUACCUUUUUUAUACAUAUUUUCCUAAUGUCUAGAUAUAUAUGUCUGAUUAUAUCCAGCAUUCUUUUAUUUUGCUAUUACAAAACUCUAAGGUAAGAUGGUUUCUUUGUCCUCAAGUACUUGUCACCUUCCACUUCACCAAUCCCCCCUUUUUUUGUUAGAAUUGAGUUCACAGUGGCAAUUUCUCAGUUUCUUUACUCUCUAAGGCAUGAUGUCAUCAGCAAAAUGUCUAAUAUAUUUAUCAGCUUUAUAAAAAUGAGAAUUCCAGUGUAUAAUUGAUUAUCACUUCUAAAAUAAUAGAAUUUUAAAGAUGAGAUAGUCCUUAAGAUAAUUCAGUCCUAUCACUUAUUUCUGGGUCAAUUUUAUAUAUAUACGUAUAUAUGUGUGUGUAUAUAUAUAUUAUCCAGAUUUUGGCAGUCUAUAGAAUGGUUCCAGUUACAUAAUUUUUAUUUCUCUCUCCUUUUUAUUCUCAUCCAAAUGCCAUCUUUAGGUUGAUAAAUUUAAUUAGCUUUUCUUUCUUUUCUUUUUUAGAGAGAAGGGAAUAUCAUUCAGAUUUAGCCUAUUUUGUUUGUAUAGGAAAGGUUAAACCAGUGCUUUAAUGUCCAUAGGAAAAUUUUUAAUUCUAUUUUUUUACUUUAUGAUGUACAUAUAUAUUCAGUACAGAUUUGAGAUAAUAUUUUGGUCUUGCGAUUCUAUAACAUACUUAUCUCUCAUCUAAGUUUACCUAUAUUUUUAAAUUUUUGAAUAUAAAAAGCCUAUCAUUUAUUUCUUUCAAUAACUUUGUUGUUUCUUAGGCAUAGCACUUAAAUGUAAUGUUUUAAUUAUACUCUCAUAUAUUAUUGAAAAUUAUUUAAUUUUUCUGACAACUAAAAUAAAGCAGAUUUUAUAUUCUAA